AUCAAAAAACAAAAAAACAUCUAUCCCCUCGCUCUCUCUAUCGAUUUCACUCACCAUCAUUUUGAUUUCGCAGACGUAAUGACUGAGACAAAUAUAAACAACAUAAGUUUUGAGCAUGAUAUAGGUGGUAUGGAUGCAGCAGAGAUAGCAGAUAGGGAACAUAUGGCGCAAAUAAGAGACAGUAUUGCAAAUAUGUUAUGGAAAAUCAAAAUACUUGAUAAUCAAUCUUUUAAUGUAUUGUACGUUUUAUGAUUGAAAUCUUGAAUUGAGAUGAGAAAUUUUGAAUGUUAAAAAUUUAAAAUUUUAUUUUUGAACUAUUUAGAUA